GGCCCCAUCGUCUAGUGGUUAGGACACGGGAUUUUCAUUCCCGUAACCGGAGUUCGACUCUCCGUGGGGUCA
rnacentral:tRNA from 2 species